AUGCAUUGCGCGAAUCAUCGAAAAGCGACAAAGGCUGCGUCCGAAUCCAGGGGCUGCAUUCCUCUACGUAACCAGGCGGCAGCAGCGCCCUUCAAACCCCAAGUUUCGGUCAGAAGAUAAAGAUAAUUGACCAAUGGAUGUGGGAUUCACACUGUCAUGACGUCGGAGCAACUCAGAUACCACCUUCUCGAAAGUCUUCUGCAUAAAAUAGAAAUGGAAUUCAGCGCGACUUCACUAAAUUUGGAUUACCUGGAGUUCCUUUGUCAUCAGGAGCAGUAUCUUCUGCAGGCCCCGUCUAAUCACAUUGAAGUACCUCCUGCUAUCACCCUGGCUUUGCAAGAGCUCUUUGACCUUGUGAGGGCACAUCUGGAACGUCCAGCCCCAUGUGUCACACAAGAAGUCACUGCCACCAAAGGACGACCCAAGAUUUUGAUUGAAGAACAAUGUUUGAAAUAAAUGCUCCAUACACAACUUCCUGUGCCUUGCAUAGCCACACUGAUGGGUGUUUCAAGAAGAACAAUCUUAAGAAGAAUGAAAGAGUAUGAGAUCUGUGUUAGGGACACAUAUAAUUCCAUCAGUGAUGAGGAACUUGACAAUU